rnacentral:rRNA from 1 species
ACGCGUAUGAAAGACAAGCUGAAAGACUUUUCUAAAUGAUGUAAGUGGUGGUGCAUGGUCGUUCUUAGUUCGUGGAGUGAUUUGUCUGGUCUAUUCCGAUAACGAGCGAGACCCCGACGUUCCUAAUAGGGGUGAUGGCCAACUCGCCCUCACGGGCUUGUAGCCGUCACCUCCUGCUUCUUAGACGUAUCAGAGCCGAUAAGGUUCUUGAAAUGGGUUAAUAACAGGUCAGUCAUGCCCUUAGAUGUUCUGGGCCGCACGCGCGUUACAAUGGCAUACAGGAGAAAGUGCUCUCGGGCGACCCGCGGCCUCACGGCUGCGGUAAUCCCUAGACUCUGCCUUGACUGGGCCAGACUUUUGCAAUUAUCGGUCUCAAACGAGGAAUUUUUAGUAGUCGCAGGUCAUUAACCUGCGACGA